rnacentral:rRNA from 1 species
GAUUCUGGCUCAGGAUGAACGCUGGCGGCGUGCCUAACACAUGCAAGUCGAACGAAGCAUGAUUGAAGGAGACUUCGGUCAAUGGAUAUCAUGACUUAGUGGCGGACGGGUGAGUAAUACAUGAGCAACCUGCCUUUCAGAGGGGGACAACAGCUGGAAACGGCUGCUAAUACCGCAUAACGUGCGAGAGGGCAUCCCUUUUGUACCAAAGGAGCAAUCCGCUGAAAAGAUGGGCUCAUGACUGAUUAGUUAGUUGGCAGGGCAACGGCCUACCAAGACUGCGAUCAGUAGCCGGACUGAGAGGUUGAACGGCCACAUUGGGACUGAGAUACGGCCCAGACUCCUACGGGAGGCAGCAGGUGGGGAAUAUUGGGCAAUGGGCGAAAAACGCCUGACCCAGCAACGCCGCGUGAAGGAAGAAGGUCUUCGGAUUGUAAACUUCUUUAUGAGGACGAAGGACGUGACGGUACCUCAUGAAUAAGCCACGGCUAACUACGUGCCAGCCGCCGC